rnacentral:rRNA from 1 species
UACGUAGGUGGCGAGCGUUGUCCGGAAUUACUGGGUGUAAAGCGCGUGUAGGCGGGCGACUAAGUCGGAUGUGAAAUCCCUGGGCUCAACCUAGGAACUGCAUUCGAAACUGGUCACCUAGAGUGAUGGAGAGGAAAGCGGAAUUCCCGGUGUAGAGGUGAAAUUCGUAGAUAUCGGGAGGAACACCGAUGGCGAAGGCAGCUCGCUGGGACGGUACUGACGCUGAGGCGCGAAAGCGUGGGGAGCGAACAGG